UUGGCACCUCGAUGUCGGCUCAUCGCAUCCUGGGGCUGAAGUAGGUCCCAAGGGUUGGGCUGUUCGCCCAUUAAAGCGGUACGCGAGCUGGGUUCAGAACGUCGUGAGACAGUUCGGUCCCUAUCUGUCGUGGGCGCAGGAAAUUUGAGAGGAGCUGUCCUUAGUACGAGAGGACCGGGAUGGACGUACCGCUGGUGCAUCAGUUGUUCCGCCAGGAGCAUGGCUGAGUAGCUACGUACGGACGGGAUAAGCGCUGAAAGCAUCUAAGCGUGAAGCCCCCCUCAAGAUGAGAUUUCCCAAUUAGUAAGACCCCUUGAAGACGACGAGGUAGAUAGGUUGGAGGUGGAAGUGCAGCAAUGCAUGGAGCUGACCAAUACUAAUCGGUCGAGGGCUUAUCCAAA
rnacentral:rRNA from 1 species